UACGUAGGGUGCAAGCGUUAAUCGGAAUUACUGGGCGUAAAGCGCGCGUAGGCGGGUUGGUAAGUCCGCUGUGAAAGCCCGGAGCUUAACUCCGGAGGGUCGGUGGAUACUGCCAGUCUUGAAGGUGCUAGGGGGAGAUGGAAUUACCGGUGUAGCGGUGAAAUGCGUAGAUAUCGGUAGGAACACCAGUGGCGAAGGCGGUCUCCUGGGGCAUUCUUGACGCUGAGGCGCGAAAGCUGGGGGAGCAAACGGG
rnacentral:rRNA from 1 species